GCGCCGCCAACGCCUUCCCUUUGACGGCGGCUUACUGGGCCACGACUCUACCCAGGGCCCUGGGCCUUCACUUCACCAGGGUGGUGGUGACCCUGCCGAGCCGCCAGUGGGAAGGGCGAGGGGUGGAGUACGUGUAUGCCGCAGUGGCUCGCGCCAGGGGGUGGAGAGGCCUGGCCUUCGACGGAGAGGAGGUGCCCCAGCAGGGGCCGUCGGGGAUAACGGACUACGGUGCAGGGGGACUGUUCUGGGAGUACAUUGACGAGUUUCAAGUGGACGAGCCGGGGCAACUUGAGGACGAGGAGCCGGAGGAUGACGGGGAGCCGCGGAACGAGUAGUCUGGUGAGCUGGGAAUUUCAGGUGGUAGCGUGCAAUUCUUAUUGUUAUUCCCUACCCUGGACACCUCUGCAAAACAUUCAGCAAUAUGGGUGUGUUAAAAAAAGAGAAGUAACAUUCUUCAAAUUAUUUUUUUAGUAAGACUGAAGUAUAAACAUUACAAACAGGGCAUUAGAAUAUAGAAAGUAAAGGAGAUGAAGAUAACACACAGCAGACAGAUUGGGUUUGGCAAAGUUCUUCUGCAUCAAUUAGUUACACAUCACAAAAUUAACUCACUUUCCAACUUCAUUGCCCUUCAAAGCAUUGGAAAAUAUGGUAAGUCUAAAAUCAACAA